UCGUCCUUCUGCCGUGUCCCGUCGUGCAUCCGCUGCGGCUCCCCAGCGUCCAAACUUUGGAAACCGGCAUCCCCUCCGUGAUCCCCUCCCCCUUUCCUAUCUUCACCGUGAGCAAUGAGCAGAGACCCCGAUCCCGGGCAGCGGCAGGCCCCCCAUCCCCUCCGUGUGCGGCAGCGGCAGGCCCGGCAAUGGAGGUCCGUGAUCCGCAUCGACUCGAAGAAGCUGGGCAGCGGCAGGCCCCCCAUCCCCUCCGUGAUCCGCAUCGACUCGGUGACCGUGAUCCGCAUCGACGCGGAGAAGCUGGGCAGCGGCAGCCCCCCCCCCCCCCCCAUCCCCUCCGUGCUAUGGCAGCGGCAGGCCCCCAUCCCCUCCGUGUGCGGCACCGGCAGGCCCGGCAACGGAGGUCCGUGAUCCGCAUCGACUCGGAGAAGCUGCGGCAGCGGCAGGCCCCCAUCCCCUCCGUGUGCGGCAGCGGCAGGCCCCCCAUCCCCUCCGUGUUCCGUCCUCCUCGCCUGGCUGGGACUCGGCAGAGCGGCAGCAAGGUCCAGGACACCAAGGUGCUGGAGCCUCCGUCGCCCGUAGUCCGCCGCGGGCCGGCACGAAGCGCGUCCAUCUUCCAGCAACAGCAGGAGGCAGUGUCCACGGUCGGGGGCGUCGUUGGGAAGGGGUCCACGGAGGAGAAGCUGCGGCAGCGGCAGGCCAACGAGAACUCCUUCCUCCUUGCCUGGCUGGGACUCGCCAUCAUCAUCCUUGUCGAGGGCAUCGGACUCGUUGCCUCCGGUCACGUACUGCUGUUGCUCCACUCGAACGAAUGAAAAUCUUGCUUCAGGUGUGAAUUUUCCUAGGUUCUUUUUAACGUUUCAAAUCAACAGUGUAUUCCUUUAUAUAACAAGUUAACAACCUGUUAUGUGCAAUGUCUCCGUAAAUCAGGAUCGCAUUGAAUGGUUUAAGAACUUGGGUUGUGAGUUGUAUAAAAUUGUUGUACAUGAACUUUCCUUAUUAAUGUGGUAACAAUGUUUUUUAGUACUAACAUAGCUAGAGACAGGAUGCAAAUUGAAUCUUGACCGUGGAAUUCGUAUUUAAUGAGGAGAAAGGCCUAAAAGAGCAUAAAUGGCGUGAUGUUAAAGUUGAUGAUUGACCGGUCAAGGAGAUUUUUCGUGACAAAUUCUUACAAAAAGAUGGGUAUGUUGAAAUAAUGGUGUCAUAUAUUUUGUAACUUUGCCAUUUUAUCUAAUGUGUAUAUAAAUCUCUGUUCAUAUUGUAUGUAGUUUUUCAUGCGGAUUAUUCUUAAUAAAUUUUAUGGAAUAUUGGACCGGGAAUGAAUUAUCAGAUAAUUUCAAUUAGGAUGAUAUGAAAGCGUUUAGACUAAAGCUUACGGCGAUUUUAUUAUCGACGGACUUAAAUAAACGAAAGGGUUGUCCAUAUCUUGAUAGCAAUGAAAAUAUUGGAAGUCCAAGUGACUGUACCAUAAUAGAAAACCCAAAGAUGGCUCAUCAAGCAUCUAUGAAAAAGAGAAAACAUUCUAAGGAAGUCGAAUGCUCAGUGGUUCAAACGGACACCCAACAUAUACAGACACACAACAAAUCCUCACAAGUCCAUGUCCUCCAAGAAGAUGAUGAGUUUUGGGCAUUUGAGGUCAUGAAAGAUAUGCCAAUGAGUAAUGAAGAGAUGACUGAAUUACUAUUACUAUGUGACUAUGUCAUGGCAAUUCAGGAUGAAGCGAUUUUGAAGAAGCCUUGGGUUAAAGGUUUUCAUCCCUCUAUGAUUGCUCUAAGUGUUUAGGAUCUGUAAGAGUUGUUAAUGAAUAAUCGAGACAUCCCUGAGAACUGUUUCGAAAUAGGAGUUCAUUUUCAGGCGGCUCGAGAGUAUAAUAUAAUGAAAAAUUAUAAUAAUAUUAUGAAGCAUCACAUGGACUUGAAAUUUUGCAGAAUGUGUGCUUUAACAAAGAUGUCAGAAUAUCGUAAAAAAUACACUACAACAGAAAUGGCUGCUGCGAUUGGUAUAUGUGAGGAUAUGAAGUACAACUUAGCACAAUGCAGAUACAUAAGUCAGAUACAUGAGUCUUUUGCUCAGCAUUGUAUUAAUUGUUCCCUAUAGACUAUUCUAAUCGUACCGUGUUUGCAGUUUCUAAUUUAGUUUAGGUGGUUAAUGAUGACACAAAUAUAGUGACUAAUUUGUGUUUUGUAACGACAUUACUUAAGUGAGGCCACGAUAAUGAUGAUUGUUGGGCAAUCAUAGUUUUCAUACCCCUAGUUGGUAUUCUUUGGUUUUUCAAAGGAUGAGUAUGAAGAUUAAGGAUUGACUAGUUCUAAGUGUCAAUAGUGUUGAGAGACACUCAGAUUAGUUCUAUAAUCUUUAUUUUUCCUUUGGUCAUACUAUAAGAAGGUGUAUGAAUGAGUAACUUGACCUAGUUGAGUCCAAUGAGUGGAUAUGGUGCACACUUUCUCCCCUAAAUAAGCCACCAGCUUCCCGGCCAGAACCAGGUGCCACGUCUCCCAUAAUUUUCCUAGACGUCCGAUCACGAAUCGUGUGGCCAUGAAUGUUUGAAGCGGCUUCAGCUUUAAUCGCUCCACGUUGCUUCUAAGGGCUUCUAGCUAUUUCUAAUGACUUAUUUGGCUCCCGGCUUGAAUCCAGGAAGAGAGAUAUAUAUACUCAGCUUCCAACUUCUCAUCUCCAGCUUCUUUCCCUCACCUUCUUCUUUCCCCUUCGUAACCCUUCCCGUGCCUCUCCGUCUUCCUGCUGUCCUUUGCCCGGCCGGCGCUGGUCCUCCAGUGUCGCUGCGGAACCCCUCCUCUGUGUUUCCCCUCCCUUGUUUCCAGCCGCUGGACUUCUCUAUUUUUGUGCCGUAGUUUGAUUCGUUCCUGCGCUACUAUCUUGCCCGCGAAUUUGUGGAACCCUAGCUUCGGCACGCCUUGCCUCCAGGUGCGCGCCCCUGCUGUUGGCGGCCGUGUUAGUCGCCUCCGGCGGGGGCCUCCCCUGCUCUUCAACCAACGGGGGGGCUCCAGGAAUCCGGUUCCUGUACACUCCCAUCGGUUUCUUUUACCGGGUUCCUGCUCUACCUUGCUGCCUUGUGAGGUUAGGUGUUUGUGGACUUGCGUGCUGCUCCCCUGUUGAACUUCAGCUAUCACAUCAAAUCUCCCUGCUAUUCCAACCAAUGCAACACUCGGUGUGAAAAAAAAGAGAAACGACGACAUCUUCCUCAAAGUGUGGCCAAUCUGGUACAGAAUCAGACCAGUCUGCCAGAGUAUUGAUGCGACACCUGAAAUAUCGCAAGAUGAAGAUGCCACUUUAGCCACAAUCCUACAGAGAAAUCGUAGCUGUGUCAGCCCAAAUGACAUAUGUGCCCAAAUGACAUAUGUCCUAUUGACCACGGAGAUCAUCAGGGAGAUACAUCGUCCACAUAUUCUCCAGGUGGCCUAUCCGGAUGCAGUCACCAUACUGAAUGCAUGUGCUUCUACGAAUAUUCAGAUUAAUGGACCACCACUACGAAGGCAGACCUUUCAGACCGAAGCUCCGAAUUUAAGAUCAGCGCAUUCACUCAAUCUAUAUAUCCAUCAACCAGCAUGUAUAAUCCCACCUUAUAUAAAUCGCACCAACCAUUAUGUACAAAUAUAUGUACCUAUGAUCUAUGUAUGAAGUGGCUCUAUGUAUGUGCUAUCUGAUAUAUUUCUUACAUGCAUCCCUACGCGCGCGAUGACGCGCGCAUUUCA